AUUGAACGCUGGCGGCAUGCUUUACACAUGCAAGUCGAACGGUAACAGGCCGCAAGGUGCUGACGAGUGGCGAACGGGUGAGUAAUGCAUCGGAACGUGCCCAGUCGUGGGGGAUAACGCAGCCAAAGUUGCGCUAAUACCGCAUACGAUCUAUGGAUGAAAGCGGGGGACCGUAAGGCCUCGCGCGAUUGGAGCGGCCGAUGUCAGAUUAGGUAGUUGGUGGGGUAAAGGCGCACCAAGCCGACGAUGUGUAGCUGGUCUGAGAGGACGACCAGCCACACUGGGACUGAGACACGGACCAGACUCCUACGGGAGGCAGCAGUGGGGAAUUUUGGACAAUGGGCGAAAGCCUGAUCCAGCAAUGCCGCGUGCAGGAAGAAGGCCUUCGGGUUGUAAACUGCUUUUGUACGGAACGAAACGGUCCUGGUUAAUACCCGGGGCUAAUGACGGUACCGUAAGAAUAAGCACCGGCUAACUACGUGCCAGCCGCCGCGGUAACAC
rnacentral:rRNA from 1 species